CACAAUUAAGGCUUUGACUCAGCACAGGUGAGCCACUCGCGCGCCCUGCUGAGCUGACGGGUCUAGCUCGAGAGCGCACAGGAGGACAGGGGUUCAGUCACUGCUGGCCAAGGCCCCUAGGGUUUCUUCGCGUGUGUUUUUAUAUGCUUAGAUUUUAACUUCAAAAUUAGCUAAAAAAGAAAGGGAAAAAUGUUCUCGGAACUUCUGUGUGAAUUAUGAGCUACGCUGCUGUGGUCCUGUUUUACUAAAAAUGACGUGGCCGGAUGAUUUUGGGAGAUUAAGCGCGGGUUUUCUGACCAUUUUACUUAGCUUUACUUUUCAAGGUGCAUACUGUGGACUGGUGGUUUCUCCUGUUGGUCCUACUCUGGUGAAUGCUAUAUCUGGCAGCAAUGUGACUCUGGCUGUGUCCUUCAGUGGUGCCCCUGACCCAGCGGUUACCUGGUUCAUGAAGGAUUUUAGCCUACCUGUCGUCACAUGGGCUAUUAACUCCAAUACUCUCCCAGACAUAGAGGAGAACAGAAGAAAGGUGCUGAGGAUUGAGCCAAAUGGAUCCCUUACCUUUGUAAAUGUGCCACUUGAGUAUACCAGUAACUACACCAUUGAAAUGACUAAAUCUGGACUGGGAAGAUCCUCGACUACUUUCUCUCUGGAAGUAUUUAGUAGUCCAGUGAAGUUCCUGCCAGCUGUGGGAACCAGAGUUGACUCUGAAGGCAAAAUAGUGGUCGCUAUCCAAUGUGUCAGUGAGGCCUGGCCUAAGGCUGUGGUGUCAUGGUCCAAAGGCAGCGAGGCUCUCACCAACAGGACACCGUACCAGAUCAGCAGUGACACCACACAGCUCGAGAUUCUGGGUUACAAUGUCAGCAAAUUUCUCCUCCAAAACUACUUUUGUAACUGCAGCAACCCACUGGGCAGCCAGAGGAGGGAAAUUCUGUUAACAGGACCGUCAAUCUCAAAUUCCAGUUUGUUCUCUAAUCACAAUAGAACCAUCGUCACAUUGACCUGGGAGGUCCCGCCUACCUCUGUCGUUACAGGGUUUGACAUCCAAAUGAAAGGACCAGACCUCCUGGGAAAAAAUCACACCCAAACUAGCUUAAACCAAUUCUACACCAUCCAGCAUGAACCUGGCACUACCAGGAGUGCAGACAUCUUUAUCCUCGAUCCUAACUUGACGUACACGUUUCGGAUUAUCCCCAAAGCUCUUAUGACAGAAGGAGACCCAUCUGCGGCCCACAGAAUUGGUCCAGGUGAAGGGCUGAGUAGAUCUGCCAUCGCUGGCAUUGCAGCUGGAAUCCCCUGCAGUAUUCUCUUCCUAGUCCUGCUGGGCGGCUUCAUCUACUUCUGUGUCUACUGGAACAAGAACAAAAGUCGGCAAACAAGAUAUCCAUUGUCCAGAGCAGUUGAGAAGGCAAUAACAUCUCAAACAGAAACAACUCCUCAUAACCUGCUGACAGGAGGGCUGAAGUCUCCCCCUGAUUACAACAGAUUGCAGCAGACUCCCUCUGAAAGAUCAGUGGCUCUCCCAACAUUUGGCAGUCCUCUGCCUGUCAGAGUUGCUACAACUGUCUAAACUCGCAAAUUUGCUUAGAUUUUUGUAACGCAUGCUAUAUAUUUGUUUAAUUUUAAUGUAUGAUAUUGUUCUAUAUUUGUAUUAAUAUUUUUACUGAAAGUAAGAAUCGUUUGUGGUAUUUCUUCCACUUUCCUGUAUAUGCUGCACGUUAAACUCUAUCAUUAUUUAACUUCUAUUACAUUUUAACUAUUUAAUUUAUUUAGCUAAAUAUCAGUGUCUCCUACCAAUCACUACAUCUGUACAAGUUCAAAACAUUUCCACAACUGUAACUAUACUGUUUUUCUACUGUAGGUCCCUCACUAUGUUAUCGGAACAUAAUGCUCACUUGGAUAAUAAACAUUUUGUUCUGCUUUAUGAUCACCAUACUGAUCAAUGUAAUGUAUUGUCUGCUUAUGGUUUAUGGUAGGGCU
ensembl:lncRNA